GGCGAUUAGCUCAGCUGGGAGAGCGCUUGCCUUACAAGCAAGAUGUCACAGGUUCGAACCCUGUUCUGGUCA
rnacentral:tRNA from 1 species